GUCUACAGCCAUACCACCCUGAACGAGCCCGAUCCCAUCUGAUCUCAGAAGCUAAGCAGGGUCGGGCCCGGUUAGUACUUGGAUGGGAGACCACAUAACACCCUUAAGAUCCACACA
rnacentral:rRNA from 1 species